GAUGAAGAACGUAGCGAAAUGCGAUAAGUAGUGUGAAUUGCAGAAUUCAGUGAAUCAUCGAAUCUUUGAACGCACAUUGCGCCCCUUGGUAUUCCAUGGGACAUGCCUGUUCGAGCGUCAUUUGUACCUUCAAGCUCUGCUUGGUGUUGGGUGUUUGUCUCGCCUCUGCGUGUAGACUCGCCUCAAAAUAAUUGGCAGCCGGCGUAUUGAUUUCGGAGCGCAGUACAUCUCGCGCUUUGCACUCAUAACGACGACGUCCAAAAGUACAUUUUUACACUCUUGACCUCGGAUCAGGUAGGGAUACCCGCUGAACUUAAGCAUAUCAAUAAGCGGAGGA
rnacentral:misc_RNA from 1 species